rnacentral:tRNA from 1 species
AAAGCAUAAAAAAGGACUUCUAAUCCUAAAAUUCUUUACAGAGUGCUUUG